rnacentral:rRNA from 1 species
GACGUAGGGCGCGAGCGUUGUCCGGAUUUAUUGGGCGUAAAGAGCUCGUAGGCGGCUCAUCGCGUCUGCCGUGAAAACCCGCAGCUCAACUGCGGGCUUGCGGUUGAUACGGGUGGGCUGGAGUUCGGUAGGGGAGACUGGAAUUCCUGGUGUAGCGGUGAAAUGCGCAGAUAUCAGGAGGAACACCGGUGGCGAAGGCGGGUCUCUGGGCCGAUACUGACGCUGAGGAGCGAAAGCGUGGGGAGCGAACAGG